rnacentral:SRP_RNA from 1 species
GGGAGGUCGGCGGCGGACGGACCGCUCGCCAACCCGGUCAGGUCCGGAAGGAAGCAGCCGUAACGAGUUUCGCCCGGGUCGUUGUCCGGCCUCCCACC